GAGGUUUUAGCUUAAUUAAAGUGCCUGAGUUGCAGUCAGGUGAUGCAAGUUAGAGUUUUGUAGGCCUUC
rnacentral:tRNA from 1 species